UUUUCUUUUUCGCAAAGCCAAUAUACAAAACAACUUCUGGUGCAGCUCUGCAGCGGUGGAUGCGGACGCCCGUUGGGCAAGGCGAGGGUUUUUGACGUUCAAAAAUAGCUGCAUCUCGCUCAUUUUCUCUAACCGUCCUUUACUCGCUUACAGUGUUCGUUUCGAGGUGCGCUUUUGUGCCCCCUCUCCCUCAGCACUCCAAACACUUCGUCCAACUUUUGUUCAUAUGUCUUUCGUUGUGUUGGUGACAAUUUACGCGCACCAUGUACCGAGGUGUGUAUGUUCUCGCUCGUUGUGUCAUGCCAUCUCUUUCGCGCGCAUGGGCACGUGAAAAAACAUAAACAAACCGUGUAACAGAUGUGAAUUAGAAGUUUUGUUAAUUAUUGUGCAUAAAAAUCAAUAGAAAAUGGGUGCAAGUGUUAUUGGACCAAUAGCUAAAGAGUUUUUAAUUGGUGUGCAACGCAGAAGAUCGCCGUGGUCGCCAACCUUCCUGCAUCGUCACAUGUGUGGGAGACCAAAACUGGCGCGACGGCACCACCCAAGAAAGAUUUUGAUGUGCCAUGUGUAAAUUCGAUCCCGGGCUGCCUCUCUUCAUCGUCAACGCCAAAGUCUGUUUCCUCCAUCUAACCCAGCCCUCAAGCUCGCUGUACGAUUCUGCGCGGAGUGGCGUAUGGCAUGUUGCAUUUAAGCACCUUUUUGACAACGCAUGCAUCCGCUCAUAACUGCUAGCUUCGUCUCCGGCCAAAUAACUGAUUCGCAGCGCAGCUCAGCAAGCACACACCAUGCUUCGAGCACGCAAAUGGCCUCGUCAGCACCGACACGGAAUAAAUAUAUUAAUAAAAUCACCGUUAAAAGUUCAAUAGCUUUUUGGCGGCCAUCUUGAACCCUAAAAAACCUUCGCUCGAAACGUCAUAAACCGUCACAACUACUUACAAAAAGCAUCGCCAGCGAGGGAAUAUCGCACCGAUUUGGAGCGUUGGCGAGCUCACGAAAAUCGGUGGUUUGGCCUGCGGGCCACGUUUACCUGCAUGUGUGGAAGGAUUUGCAUACUCGUUUGCGUACAGUGGUGGCAGUAGUUGUAUGGGUUGGGUAGAAUUUUAAAUGCAUUUUUUUAUGUUGGAGAGAACAAGAAUAACAAAAACAAUCUGUUUAUCCUUCGGGAAACAUACGUUAAAACACAUAGAAUAGAAUAGAAAUGAUUCUAACGAUGUUGGGUGUUGGGAAGGGCACAAAGUCCAGAUGAUAAUUGAACCUUCGAUGUGUUUGUCGGAGCGAUCAGACAGGACGUGAUUGAAAGGCAGCCAUGACCGCGUGCUUCGUUACGACAAGGAUAUGUUGAUAAACCAUCUACUGAACCCAAAGGCCAAACAACUAAUUAUAAUCACUGAGAGUUUAUUUUUCGACAAUUAGAUUCUAUUAGUUAUCGCAUUGCGACCAGCGGAUGAAAGUUUCUACUUCAUGUACACACUACGUGGAAAGAAUUCUAAUUCAGGGAAGAUGCAAACCUAUGUAACUCGUUUCAAACUUUCGCAUAUUGUUUUAUAAAGCGUAUAAAUAAAACAAAAUUGC